AGCGUCACACAUGUCAGUCGAACGGACCGUAUACGCAGCUUGCUGCGUGUAUGGUUAGUGGCAGACGGGUGAGUAAUGCAUAGGAAUCUACCUAGUAGUAUGGGAUAGCCACUAGAAAUGGUGGGUAAUACUGUAUAAUCCCUGCGGGGGAAAGAUUUAUCGCUAUUAGAUGAGCCUAUGUCAGAUUAGCUAGUUGGUGGGGUAAUGGCCUACCAAGGCGGUGAUCUGUAGCUGGUCUGAGAGGAUGAUCAGCCACACUGGAACUGAGACACGGUCCAGACUCCUACGGGAGGCAGCAGUGGGGAAUAUUGGACAAUGGGCGCAAGCCUGAUCCAGCUAUGCCGCGUGAGUGAGGAAGGCCUUAGGGUUGUAAAACUCUUUCAGUAGGGAAGAUAAUGACGGUACCUACAGAAGAAGUCCCGGCAAACUC
rnacentral:rRNA from 1 species